UAAAUCAGUUAUGGUUCACUAGAUCGUAUACAUUACAUGGAUAACUGAGGUAAUUCUUGAGCUAAUACAUGCAACCAGCUCGCUGCCUCGUGCAGUGAGCGCAGUUAUUAGAACAAAACCAAUCCGGCAUUCGUCGGUAAAAUGGUGACUCUGAAUAACCGAAGCGGAGCGCUAAGGUCUCGUACCGGCGCCAGAUCUUUCAAGUGUCUGACUUAUCAGCUUGUUGCGAGGUUAUGUUCCUCGCACGGCAGUGACGGGUAACGGGGAAUCAGGGUCCGAUUCCGGAGAGGGAGCCUGAGAAAUGGCUACCACAUCCAAGGAAGGCAGCAGGCGCGCAAAUUACCCACUCCCGGCACGGGGAGGUAGUGACGAAAAAUAACGAUGCGAGGGCAAUUUGCCUUUCGUAAUCGGAAUGGGUACACUUUAAAUCCUUUAACGAGGAUCUAUUGGAGGGCAAGUCUGGUGCCAGCAGCCGCGGUAAUUCCAGCUCCAAUAGCGUAUAUUAAAGUUGCUGCGGUUAAAAAGCUCGUAGUUGGAUCCGGGCUGACGACGUGCGGUUCUCCUUAUGGAGUUACUGCAUGCUCGUCGCCACCAUCCGGCUCUGUCUUGCAUGCUCUUUACUGAGUGUGCUUGGCGACCGGGACGUUUACUUUGAAAAAAUUAGAGUGCUUAAAGCAGGCAUAUGGCCGGCAUAAUGGUGCAUGGAAUAAUGGAAUAGGACCUCGGUUCUAUUUUGUUGGUUUUCGGUGCUCGAGGUAAUGAUUAAGAGGAACAGACGGGGACAUU
rnacentral:rRNA from 1 species